CGAGUUGACCGGGCGGCCGCGUCGGCGGGGUGGUGACCCCGUCGCCGAGGAACGUCCGGACUCCACAGGGCAGGGUGGUUGCUAACAGCAACCCGGGGUGACCCGCGGGAAAGUGCCACAGAAAACAGACCGCCGAGUUCGCCCGCGCGGCGAGCUCGGUAAGGGUGAAACGGUGGGGUAAGAGCCCACCAGCGCCUCGGGUGACCGAGGCGGCUAGGUAAACCCCACCCGGAGCAAGGCCAAGAAGGGUCCGCGCCGGUCGGCGCUGACCCGCGCAGGCGCUUGAGGGCGGCCCGUCCGAUGCCUGCGGGUAGGCCGCUAGAGCCUGUCGGUGACGGCAGGCCGAGAGGGAUGGCCGCCGCCGACGCCACGCGCGUCGGUACAGAAUCCGGCGUACAGGUCGACUCGCCCG
rnacentral:RNase_P_RNA from 1 species